UACGUAGGGGGCAAGCGUUGUCCGGAAUUACUGGGCGUAAAGCGUGCGCAGGCGGUGAUGUAAGACAGGUGUGAAAUCCCCGGGCUUAACCUGGGAACUGCAUUUGUGACUGCAUUGCUGGAGUGCGGCAGAGGGGGAUGGAAUUCCGCGUGUAGCAGUGAAAUGCGUAGAUAUGCGGAGGAACACCGAUGGCGAAGGCAAUCCCCUGGGCCUGCACUGACGCUCAUGCACGAAAGCGUGGGGAGCAAACAGG
rnacentral:rRNA from 1 species